GCGAGGCGGUUGAUAUCGCGAGGCGCGCUCAAAUCGCGCCUCGGUUCGGCCUCUUCGCCGAACGUUUGUGGAAGGUGACGGGCUUAUAAUUUGGAAGUGCACAAAUGAGCGCAACCUCCAGUUUAAAAGCGCAACAAAGAUUUACGAGGCCAAGAAGCUGUUCAGCAACUCUCUUUUAAGUAGAUUCGGUGGAAAAGACCAAACAUAGCCAGCCGUCCGUCACCAGAAGGUGCUGAAGCCUUUAGUUUAAAUAAGUGGUUUCCGCUGAUGCCAGAAACAGUUGGAAUAAGAUAUUGGGAUGAAUGCGGUUCGGGGUGGCAGAAUUAGAACUAGGCACUUGUUUCUAGCAAGUCCCUGGAAAGUGCUAGCAAAGAGACUAACGUGACAUCUGCGCUGCCUGCUCUCUUAUACGUGGUGGUUCGUUCCCAAGGGGGGGAAAAGAAUAUCAGCUUAAUAACUUUGGCAAAGGUAAUUUGUUUUUUGUUUUUUAACAAUCAGACAGAAUCAUACAAGAGAAAAGUAGGUGGGCACAUGCAGUUUAAUUGUGAUUUGUUGGACAGGUUGUAGUGAAUGUGUAGUUACUGAGAUUUUUUGCCACCCACUUGCCAGUUCUAAUGUGGUUUACAAUAUUACAAAAUCCAAUUUUAAUGAAAUACCUUAGUAAAACCAAUAAAUAUAGAAGUCUUUAAAAGGUCUGUUUUUGUCAUCUUCUGAAACAUGGAAAGAGGCACACCUGAUUUGGACAAGGUGUUCCAGUGGGAAGGAUCUGUUGUUGAGAAAAUCAAGCCUCUGAGUUCUCAUCUCUUUUUUUUUUUUUUGAUCUGGGGUGUCCAUUCUCUAAUAGAUCAUGAAGGUAGUGCAGAUUUUACGUGAAGGAGACUGUUACAAAGGCCCAAGCAGAAAUAUAUCCAAGGACUUGACAUCUCUUCUGCAACAGCAUCAAAUUGAUAUCACCCUCUCAGAAGAGAGUGGAACUACUUCAAAACUGUCUCCAGUCCCCCUCUCUUGCAAGCAGCUCAAAAGGAUACCAUGUUGUUAUACCGAAACUUACAGAGAGGUCUACAGGAAAGGAGAGUGCAUCACAGCUGUUUCAAGUUGCGUCUACAAAAACAUGUUCUGUUUCAUGUCUUGUUUAGAAAGGAUCCAAAUAAUCUGUCUCAUCCAGGACCCUUUUGUAGUUGAAGCCUAGCUACCUUUUCUGCAGCUUUUUCAAACAGUAAUAGGUUGGAUAAGUAGAUCCAUGGAAGUAUUUUAAGAAGAGAGACCAGUUUCUUUAAUGACUGAAGGUAUUGCCUCCUCUUCCUUUAGCAGUGGUUGAUUGAUCAGCUGAAACCAUGUGCUCCAUUCUUGUUAGAAGUUCACAUUGAACAGUAAGGAUCUAAUUUGCAUGUAGCCUCCUCAGGCAUCCACGUUGAAGCAAUAGUUUACAAAUUACAAUUUACAUACUGCAGUAAAUAAAAUCUAAACUGUUAAAAACUCUUUGGUUAUGGUCAGUGUAUGCAUUUGAUUGUCCCUCUUCUCCUGCUUCUUGAGAGGUCUUACAAUUUAAAUUCAAGGACAUUAAUAGUUCAUAGAAAGCCCUGAGAAGUGGGACAUUUACAAAUUGAUUAAAGAAAUAAAAUAAUUGCAACACAAUAUUCUCUAUAUAGAGAGUGAAAAGCAUGGGAGUGGGGUGGAACAUCAGUCUGCAUGGGCCUUUUAACUGAAUAGUUUUUAAAACCAGGGAUGAUGCACAUUUCUAUUAUUACCGGUACUUAUCUAGUUUCAAGGAAGCAGUUGGAUUCUUCAACCUUAAACUUGAUAACAGAGAUGAGGGAGAACAAGUUGAAGUUAAAUCCAGACAAAACAAAGGUGCUUUUGAAAAACAGAACUCUGGAUGGAGAGUGUGGUAAAACCUGUUUUAGAUGAGAUUGCCCUCCCUCAAGAGGAGCAGAUUUGCCAUUUAACAGCAGUCUUGAAUCUGCAGGUGAAGGCUAUUAUAUAACAUAUCCAUUCUUUGGUUAUAACCUGUCUUGAGUUCUGCAAUAUGUUUAUCUUAUGGCUGUCCUUGAAGAGUACUUGAAAUUAGUAAUUGGUGCAAAAAUGCAAUAGAUAGGUUGCUAUCUGAUACAAGGUACAAAGAUCAGACAAUGCUUGUAGUGAAAGAUUUGUAUUGGGCUUGAUUAUUUGAGAUACUGCCUUUGUUAUUGGGAAUCUGCUAAGGAGACCUUUUGGAAGAUUACUCUGUGGUACUUCUUGUAGGGCAUCAAAGCAAUAGCUCAAAAAUAUAUUUUGUUUGCUAUCUCCCAUCCAUGCCACUAGUGGAUACUAUUUUGUCAGCAGGAUUAUAGAGUUGGCUUCAAGACAAUGAAAUUUUUCUCCUAGAAGGAAUCCAUUUGUAUACUGGAAUUUUGAAUGCAUACACACUGAACAUCAGAAAUAUUUGUUGAAUUUCCUACAUUGUGAUAAUGCAAACGUCAACCAUCUGAAACAGUU